rnacentral:lncRNA from 1 species
UGCAGACCUGCAUUGAGCUGCGGUGCUGAUGUUUCUCCUAGUAGCAUGGCUUUCGGUAUAAAAAUAUGCAAAAAAGUGACGUGAGGAAUAUUUGAACCAAGGUUUUAACCUUCAAAAUAUCAGGAAUGGGAAAGGAGGCAGCUAAGAAGAUGGAGAAGGAUAUACUGGGGAAACAAGUCAUAAGGAUUUGCCUUUCAGUUAAAAAACUUUCCCUGAAGCAGCUAUUAGAGAAAAGCAACUUAUUAUAAUUCUGAAAAUUUUUCCUUCUUGAUGUUCUAUCUCUAUGCAGAUGUCAUCUCCUCUUCCAUUCAGUAGACAAAAAAUAAAAAAUGGAUACUGUGUUAUUGGUGCUCUGAAACAUUCUCUACUUUUUCUCCUUUUAUUUCAGGAAAAAGAGCCACCUCCUUUCAAAUAAUU